rnacentral:rRNA from 1 species
AUUGAACGCUGGCGGCAGGCCUAACACAUGCAAGUCGAACGAGUGGCGGACGGGUGAGUAAUGUCUGGGAAACUGCCCGAUGGAGGGGGAUAACUACUGGAAACGGUAGCUAAUACCGCAUACCAUCGGAUGUGCCCAGAUGGGAUUAGCUAGGAGGUGGGGUAACGGCUCACCUAGGCGACGAUCCCUAGCUGGUCUGAGAGGCUGACCAGCCACACUGUAACUGGAACACGGACCAGACUCCUACGGGAGGCAGCAGUGGGGAAUAUUGCACAAUGGGCGCAAGCCUGAUGAAGCCAUGCCGCGAGGAUGAAGAAGGCCUUCGGGUGGUAAAGGACUUUCAGCGGGGAGGCGUUACUCGCAGAAGAAGCACCGGCGAACUCCGUGCCAGCAGCCGCGGUAAUAC